UCAAUUUUUUGUUUUAAAGCCAUACGAUUCUAGCUCCUUCCCCACAAGACUGCCUAUCCAUACUCUUGGUGUCGAAGAAAGUAGAAACUAUUAAUAUGGACUCCCCGUAGUACUCUAGGUUACUAAUCAUUUCUAUAAUAAAUUAUAUGGCCUAUGUAAUAAAAAAAA